GAACAGCACCGAAUUGAUCUGUUACACUCGAGCAGAGCUGGUGUCCAGCACGCCAAGCAGGGAGGUAUGCUCUAAAACUACUGUUUUAUUUAUGGGAUUACAUAAGUUAAUACUUGUGAAAUGCAAUUGACCUGACAUCAUUUUUGCAGAUGGUCUCACCAACGUUACCUAUUAAACUUGCUGCCCUGAAUUCUCUGAGUAUCUAUCUUGAAGAUUUGCUCUUUGGUCGGAUCUUUGAUUGUUCUUCUCUGGCUUCUAUCUUUGGUGCUUCUCUUUCAUUGGAGACUUUCAUCUCGCAUGUAUCCAAUGAACUCAUGCAGCAUGUGCUAGUUUUCGAGGGCGUUGUGUCCCCAAGGAAUAAGAGUCUUGUUGAGCUAGCCUGUCAUGUUCUCAGGGCCUGGUUGAGCUAACAUGCCCCAGUCUUGGGAGUGCAACGACGUCACAGGGACAUAUUAAUGCCAAAUGCUUUAAGUAAUGAACUAUUCUGGGCACUCUGCAGUUGAAAUCAAUGGCAAGUCUACUAUCCUGAGUUUCUGGAGUCCUGCGCAGUUGAUCAUGAUGUCGAACAAUGAUGUCAAGUAGGAUCUUGUUUCCUUAAAUUAAUGUUUGCGUGGUUGAUCAUGCUGUUGAACAAUGAUGUCAAGUGUAGUUAUAUUUGGUUAUGAAGUUGUAGCUGGAUCUUAUUUUCUUAAAUUAAUAUUGGAACUAGUGAUUGUUUUAGUUGAUGUAUUUGCUCUAGUAGCGCCUACACUGUAAUAAGGGUUAGAUAGAGGUGCUCUUUGCUCAUUA